AGAGUUUGAUCCUGGCUCAGGAUGAACGCUGGCGGUCUGCUUAACACAUGCAAGUCGAACGGGCUCUUCGGAGCUAGUGGCGGACGGGUGAGUAACGCGUGAGAAUCUGCCUUCAGGUCUGGGACAACAGAAGGAAACUUCUGCUAAUCCCGGAUGAGCCCUAGGGUAAAAGAUAAAUUGCCUGGAGAUGAGCUCGCGUCUGAUUAACUAGUUGGUGUGAUAAAAGCAUACCAAGGCGACGAUCAGUAGCUGGUCUGAGAGGAUGAGCAGCCACACUGGGACUGAGACACGGCCCAGACUCCUACGGGAGGCAACAGUGGGGAAUUUUCCGCAAUGGGCGAAAGCCUGACGGAGCAAGACCGCGUGGGGGAGGAAAGCUCUAGGGUUGUAAACCCCUUUUCUUUGGGAAGAAGUACUGACGGUACCAAAGGAAUCAGCCUCGGCUAACUCCGUGCCAGCAGCCGCGGUAAUACGGAGGAGGCAAGCGUUAUCCGGAAUGAUUGGGCGUAAAGCGUCGCAGGUGGCCAUGUAAGUCUGCUGUCAAAACCCAGGCUUAACUCUGGUCAGGCAGUGGAAACUACAAAACUAGAGUUCGGUAGGGGCAAAGGGAAUUCCCGGUGUAGCGGUGAAAUGCGUAAUAUCGGGAAGACAUCGGUGGCGAAGCGCUUUGCUUGACCAAACUGACCUUAGGGACAAAACUAGGGGAGCGAAUGGGAUAAAUACCCCAUAUCCUAGCCUAACAAGGAUCUAGGGUUGCUGUUUCGACCAGCAUGCCCACUUACCCUUAAUUUCCCCUGGGAUCCCCCCAGUGUGAACUAAGGAUUGACGGGCCCCCAACCG
rnacentral:rRNA from 1 species